CAUGCAAGUCGAACGAUGAUCCCAGCUUGCUGGGGGAUUAGUGGCGAACGGGUGAGUAACACGUGAGUAACCUGCCCUUGACUCUGGGAUAAGCCUGGGAAACUGGGUCUAAUACCGGAUACGACCAUUCCACGCAUGUGGUGGUGGUGGAAAGCUUUUGUGGUUUUGGAUGGACUCGCGGCCUAUCAGCUUGUUGGUGGGGUAAUGGCCUACCAAGGCGACGACGGGUAGCCGGCCUGAGAGGGUGACCGGCCACACUGGGACUGAGACACGGCCCAGACUCCUACGGGAGGCAGCAGUGGGGAAUAUUGCACAAUGGGCGCAAGCCUGAUGCAGCGACGCCGCGUGAGGGAUGACGGCCUUCGGGUUGUAAACCUCUUUCAGUAGGGAAGAAGCGAAAGUGACGGUACCUGCAGAAGAAGCGCCGGCUAACUACGUGCCAGCAGCCGCGGUAAUACGUAGGGCGCAAGCGUUAUCCGGAAUUAUUGGGCGUAAAGAGCUCGUAGGCGGUUUGUCGCGUCUGCUGUGAAAGACCGGGGCUCAACUCCGGUUCUGCAGUGGGUACGGGCAGACUAGAGUGCAGUAGGGGAGACUGGAAUUCCUGGUGUAGCGGUGAAAUGCGCAGAUAUCAGGAGGAACACCGAUGGCGAAGGCAGGUCUCUGGGCUGUAACUGACGCUGAGGAGCGAAAGCAUGGGGAGCGAACAGGAUUAGAUACCCUGGUAGUCCAUGCCGUAAACGUUGGGCACUAGGUGUGGGGGACAUUCCACGUUUUCCGCGCCGUAGCUAACGCAUUAAGUGCCCCGCCUGGGGAGUACGGCCGCAAGGCUAAAACUCAA
rnacentral:rRNA from 1 species